CAGGAAUGAGUAAGAGGUUGAAAAUGUUAUCGGUUAUUGAAAUUCGCGAAAAAGAUGAACCGAAUCAAAUGUGAUUUUGGCAAAAAUAAAAAAAUGUAUUUACUGGGGCCUUUUUUAAGAAACUGAGCAGCAGUAGUUACCCAAUGUGUUUUAACCCCAGCAAUGCUGGGAUAUUAACAUGGAGCAUUUCCUCUUGCUUCC